rnacentral:rRNA from 1 species
GCAGUCGAGCGGACAGAUGGGAGCUUGCUCCCUGAUGUCAGCGGCGGACGGGUGAGUAACACGUGGGUAACCUGCCUGUAAGACUGGGAUAACUCCGGGAAACCGGGGCUAAUACCGGAUGCUUGAUUGAACCGCAUGGUUCAAUUAUAAAAGGUGGCUUUUAGCUACCACUUACAGAUGGACCCGCGGCGCAUUAGCUAGUUGGUGAGGUAACGGCUCACCAAGGCAACGAUGCGUAGCCGACCUGAGAGGGUGAUCGGCCACACUGGGACUGAGACACGGCCCAGACUCCUACGGGAGGCAGCAGUAGGGAAUCUUCCGCAAUGGACGAAAGUCUGACGGAGCAACGCCGCGUGAGUGAUGAAGGUUUUCGGAUCGUAAAACUCUGUUGUUAGGGAAGAACAAGUACCGUUCGAAUAGGGCGGUACCUUGACGGUACCUAACCAGAAAGCCACGGCUAACUACGUGCCAGCAGCCGCGGUAAUACGUAGGUGGCAAGCGUUGUCCGGAAUUAUUGGGCGUAAAGCGCGCGCAGGCGGUUUCUUAAGUCUGAUGUGAAAGCCCCCGGCUCAACCGGGGAGGGUCAUUGGAAACUGGGGAACUUGAGUGCAGAAGAGGAGAGUGGAAUUCCACGUGUAGCGGUGAAAUGCGUAGAGAUGUGGAGGAACACCAGUGGCGAAGGGCGACUCUCUGGUCUGUAACUGACGCUGAGGCGCGAAAGCGUGGGGAGCGAACAGGAUUAGAUACCCUGGUAGUCCACGCCGUAAACGAUGAGUGCUAAGUGUUAGAGGGUUUCCGCUCCUUUAGUGCUGCAGCAAACGCAUUAAGCACU